AUCUCAUGCUUCCAGCCCUGGAGACUGUGAUACAGUGCAAAGAGGUCUGAAUUGAGAGUCAAGCUUUGACCCCCAUACCACUUUCGAGCUUUGUGACCUUAAAUGCACCCAGAUUAUACAAUAGCUUCCAGCCAAGUGAGGAGCCGAUUGAUGCCAGAAUCUGGAUCAUGGAAUAAGAUGAAAAAAAAAUGGCUGGGAUGCUUCCAAGUAAGGAGGGACCUGUUGUCAAGGAAUUAACAGCAGGUUUCAGUAUCUCAAAGAAAUGUGUGGUAAUUUGGCUGGUAAAAGAAAACAUCUUUACUAAAGAAGUUAGUCAGUUGCUCAAAGAGGAAAGAAGCCAAUCUUACACUGAAUA